rnacentral:rRNA from 1 species
AUUGAACGCUGGCGGCAGGCCUAACACAUGCAAGUCGAGCGGAUGAAGGGGGCUUGCUCCUGGAUUCAGCGGCGGACGGGUGAGUAAUGCCUAGGAAUCUGCCUGGUAGUGGGGGAUAACGUCCGGAAACGGGCGCUAAUACCGCAUACGUCCUGAGGGAGAAAGUGGGGGAUCUUCGGACCUCACGCUAUCAGGUGAGCCUGGGUCGGAUUAGCUAGUUGGUGGGGUAAAGGCCUACCAAGGCGACGAUCCGUAACUGGUCUGAGAGGAUGAUCAGUCACACUGGAACUGAGACACGGUCCAGACUCCUACGGGAGGCAGCAGUGGGGAAUAUUGGACAAUGGGCGAAAGCCUGAUCCAGCCAUGCCGCGUGUGUGAAGAAGGUCUUCGGAUUGUAAAGCACUUUAAGUUGGGAGGAAGGGCAGUAAGUUAAUACCUUGCUGUUUUGACGUUACCAACAGAAUAAGCACCGGCUAACUUCGUG